AGCCUCCAGCUUUUGAUUGAUCAUGCUUGGCUACUCUUGCAGGUGUGAAGUCAUCAUCUCACAAGACCUACGAAGAACAUGGCAAAUUAUUUGGUUAUUUCACACUCUCACUGCUUCACGGAGGCUCGAAAGGAGUGCUUGGUCAUUCAUCCUGGCCCAAACUGGAAAGAUCAUUAUGAGAUCAAAAAAGGGAGUUACAAAACCACUUGGUGUCUCCUUAGAUUCUAAGAAGGGCUGGCAAAAACCGCUGUGGGCUUUACCGAGCUCUUGCAUGGAGCCUUGUGAGAGCUGAGUAUGCAACAAACUGGAGUUUGUAUUCACCUAGGAUUGUGGACCCUCUCCUAGAGUAUCCCCUAGAGCAGUGGUUCUCCAAGUCGAGGCCCCGGAUCAGCAACACCUGCCUCACCAGGCAGCUUCUUAGACAGGCACAUUGUCAGCCCCACCCCAGACCCAUGGAAUCAUAAAUUCAGGGGUUGGGGGUGUGUAAUCUCCAUGGUAACAAGCCUCCUGUAGGGGAUUCUAAUGCUGUCUCGAGCAUCAGAGAGUGCUAUGUACAGUCCUUAACAAUUCUCCCCCUCGUGUUCAUCUUCAUUGCUGGUAUAUCCUCUGUCUGCACGUUGGACUUAACCAGGCAGCAUCUUCACCUUUCUCCACACUUGCUAGGAAACAGGUUGUAACUUCUUGGAAUUGGGAAGGGAAGGAGUUCAGAGAGUGCCUGUGCUAAUUACAGUAGUAGCCGCAAUCAAUAUUAAUUCUUCUCUGUGCUUCUUAAAACUACAAAGAAACUCUAAGUAUUUCAUAAACAUCCAAUCAGUUCUGUAAUGAAGACGUUCCUCCCAGGAGUACAAAAGCCUUCACAAAAAGUAGGUGGAGACUGACACAUCUAUUUCUAAGAUCUUUUAAUGUUGAGAUUUUCAUUGCCAAUUGAUUCUCCACUUUCCACAAGAUCUUUUAAAUAAUCAUUUCUGUCCACUAGCUGUGGACAGACCAAAAGACCAUGGGGUAGACUGGCCUUUUUACGACUCAUCGUUCCCAUCUAAGGCUGUGAAUCUGGCGGGCUCGUCCUGAGUGGUUCCUCAAGCAUAAAAUGAAAGCAAGCCCAGUCAUUUCAUGUGGGCAAUGCAUUUGAAACCAGCAUAACCAGCAAAUACACUGAAAGGCAUCAGAAGAAGUUCAAAGGAAACCUCAGGCCCUACCGAGUGGCCAUAUUCACGGACGAGUUAGUGGCGUGCUCUCAACUAAGUCAGCUUUGCCUGCGUUCCCUGGAAAUGGGGCGGGCACAACCUUAGAGAGCUGUUCACGUGAAUGGACACCUCAGCGGCCGUCUGGCCAGGAGAACCUGUUUGCUGUGCUCACGGCAUGACGAUGUGGGUGCGGCUCCCGGGGAGUGCCCGGUCUGCAGAGUGUGCCCAGAGGCUGCAGAAUCAGACUUCUGCCCGAGGAAGAAAGGGCGCCCCAAGGAAACUGCAUGCCAGAGACAGCCCAGUGCUAGGGCUGCUUGGAGCUGCUCUCCGGCCCCCGCCUGCUCGAAGCACACCCCAUGCUUCGCCCAUGAACUCUGGGUGGGAAGAGCCUAGACCCUGACCUUUCAGCCAGGCCUUGGUGAUGGGUGUAUUUUUAUUAAAACAGAAUGGCAAUGAUAACAGAAAUAAGGCUGU